rnacentral:rRNA from 1 species
CUGACAUGUGUGCGAGUUAACGGGCGAGUAAACCCGUAAGGCGCAAGGAAGCUGACUGGUGGGAUCCCCUAGUGGGUUGCACCACCGACCGACCUUGAUCUUCUGAGAAGGGUUCGAGUGUGAGCAUGCCUGUCGGGACCCGAAAGAUGGUGAACUAUGCCUGAGCGGGACGAAGCCAGAGGAAACUCUGGUGGAGGCCCGUAGCGAUACUGACGUGCAAAUCGUUGGUAGGGAUCGAUUAAGUCAUUACAUUACUUGG